rnacentral:rRNA from 1 species
CAGUCGCCGCGGGAAUACGGAGGAUCCAAGCGUUAUCCGGAAUCAUUGGGUUUAAAGGGUCCGUAGGCGGUCUUGUAAGUCAGUGGUGAAAGCCCAUCGCUCAACGGUGGAACGGCCAUUGAUACUGCAGGACUUGAAUUAUUGGGAAGUAACUAGAAUAUGUAGUGUAGCGGUGAAAUGCUUAGAGAUUACAUGGAAUACCAAUUGCGAAGGCAGGUUACUACCAAUUGAUUGACGCUGAUGGACGAAAGCGUGGGUAGCGAACAGGAUUAGAUACCCCUGUAGUCCCUGUCUCUUAUAA